UGCCCCCCCAAAAAAUUAGGUUUUUCAUUGCCAUUGAUCAGGAAUUUUGCUUUCGAAAGCAAUUCAACAUUUCUGCUAUAAGGGUCAUGGAUCCAAAUCCCUCAAGUGUGAAAUCACGGGUGGUUUAACCGUCCUUUCGAGAUAAGUAUUGCAUAAUGCACCAUUUGGUCUAACUUUUAUAGCAUUUUGAAACUUCAUAUCAUUUUUUAUUUUGAUUACGUAUCCUGUGAUUAAAAAUCAGUAUAUUAGGAAUAAUUAUGUGACGUUUAAGUACCUUUAGCCUGAUGAAAGCAAAUGAAAGCGGGAUGACGGCAUAAAGUGAGUAUCUAGUUCGUCCCGGUACAAAAGAUUGCCAGUUUUAUCUAAGAACUGGUCGAUGUGGCUAUGGAGAGACUUGUCGCUACAAUCACCCAAAGGAGAUACCACCAGACAAGUUUAAUAUGCCAAAGUGUAAGUAUUAUCUGAGAGGAAAAUGUAAGUACGGCUUGUGAUUUUGAUCAUUCAAAGAAAAGGGAUGGUGCAGAACAUACGCGUCAGGGUCAGAAAAGACACAGAACUGAGUCAAAGUCAAAGUCAAGGUCAAGGUCAAGUCUAAGUCCAGAGAAGAGGAAACAUAGACAGGAAGAUAAUGAGAAGCAGAGUACAGAGGCUGAAGACAAUCUGCAGGAAGAGAAUUUGAGGGAGACACAAGAGAAUGAUAAUGAUCAACAGAAUCGAGAGGAACAGAGAAAGAGAGAUAUUCAGAGGCAGAGGAGAGAGGCUCGUUUGAGACAUCAAACAAACAAUUUGUUUCGAUGAAGUGACUAGUAUCAGAGAGACACUAGCAAAAUUCGGAUUCAUACUUACAGAGAGCGAUGGAUUUUAAUAGUUACGAGGGUACAAAAGAGAAUCCCAGCUUUUUGGAACACAAGAAACUGAUGUGUUGUGAAGCUUUCGUAUUUAACCUCGUGGUUGUUGUGCUGAUUAAAUUACCGUACGAAGACUGUGUUUGGGAUAAAUUUGAGCCUAUAUGCUAUGGAUAUAAGCCAGUAAAAAAGUAUA